rnacentral:tRNA from 1 species
GGCAGGGUAGCUCAGCGGUAGAGCGGGGGACUCAUAAGCCCUGGGUCGGGGGUUCGAAUCCCUCCCCUGCCACCC